rnacentral:rRNA from 1 species
GGCAGCACGAGGUAGCAAUACUUUGGUGGCGACCGGCGCACGGGUGAGUAACGCGUAUGCAACCUUCCUUUUACAGGAGGAUAGCUUCCGGAAACGGAAAUUAAUACUCCAUACAAUUACGAAGUGGCAUCACUUUCAGAUUAAAGCUACGGCGGUAAAAGAUGGGCAUGCGUAACAUUAGCUAGUUGGUAAGGUAAAGGCUCACCAAGGCGACGAUGUUUAGGGGUCCUGAGAGGGUUAUCCCCCACACUGGUACUGAGACACGGACCAGACUCCUACGGGAGGCAGCAGUGAGGAAUAUUGGUCAAUGGGCGCAAGCCUGAACCAGCCAUCCCGCGUGCAGGAAGACGGCCCUAUGGGUUGUAAACUGCUUUUCUGAGGGAAGAAUAACGCUGAUUCGUUCAGUGGACGACGGUACCUCAGGAAUAAGCAUCGGCUAACUCCGUGCCAGCAGCCGCGGUAAUACGGAGGAUGCGAGCGUUAUCCGGAUUCAUUGGGUUUAAAGGGUGCGUAGGCGGACUGGUAAGUCAGUGGUGAAAUCCUGCAGCUUAACUGUGGAAUUGCCAUUGAAACUGUCAGUCUUGAGUCAGGUUGAGGUAGGCGGAAUGUGUAAUGUAGCGGUGAAAUGCAUAGAUAUUACACAGAACACCGAUUGCGUAGGCAGCUUACUGGACCUGCACUGACGCUGAGGCACGAAAGCGUGGGGAUCAAACAGGAUUAGAUACCCUGGUAGUCCACGCCGUACACUAUGAUUACUCGUUAGUUGGCAAUACAUCGUCAGGCGAACCAAGCGAACGCGAUCAAGUAAUCCACCUGGGGAGUACGCUCGCAAGAGUGAAACUCAAAGGACUUGACUGGGGCCCGCACAAUCGGUGGAACAUGUGGUUUUAUUCGAUGAUACGCGAGGUACCUUAUCCGGGCUUAAAUUUAGUCUGUAUAGCGUGGAUACAUGCUUGUCUUUUAGACUGUUUACAAGGUGCUGCAUGGUUGUCGUCAGCUCGUGCCGUGAGGUGUCGGGUUAAGUCCCAUAACGAGCGCUACCCUUAUCGUUAGUUGCCAUCGGGUAAAGCCGGGGACUCUAGCGAAACUGCCACCGUAAGGUGAGUGGAAGGUGGGGAUGACGUCAAAUCAGCACGGCCCUUAUGUCCAGGGCUACACACGUGUUACAAUGGUUAGAACAAAGGGCAGCUACCUGGUGACAGGAUGCUAAUCUCUAAAUCUGGCCGUAGUUCGGAUCGGAGUCUGCUACUCGACUCCGUGAAGCUGGAAUCGCUAGUAAUCGCGCAUCGGCCAUGGCGCGGUGAUACGUUCCCGGGCCUGUACACACCGCCCGUC